rnacentral:rRNA from 1 species
CGGGAGGCAGCAGUGGGGAAUUUUCCGCAAUGGGCGAAAGCCUGACGGAGCAAUGCCGCGUGGAGGUAGAAGGCCCACGGGUCGUGAACUUCUUUUCCCGGAGAAGAAGCAAUGACGGUAUCUGGGGAAUAAGCAUCGGCUCCCUCUGUGCCAGCAGCCGCGGUAAUACAGAGGAUGCAAGCGUUAUCCGGAAUGAUUGGGCGUAAAGCGUCUGUAGGUGGCUUUUUAAGUCCGCCGUCAAAUCCCCGGGCUCAACCCUGGACAGGCGGUGGAACCUCCC